GGCCACUCUUCCAUGGAAUUGUGGGGGGUCCGUUUCCUCCUCCACUAAGGCUAAACGCCAAGAACAGCCCUCCAGGAUCACCUCGUGACUGCUGCGAGUGGGGCAGCCUUAUUCUCCUACCUCAGACCUUU
ensembl:snoRNA